rnacentral:rRNA from 1 species
CACGGAGUUAGCCGGAGCUUUUUCUGGGACUACCGUCAUUAUCGUCAUCCCUAAAAGAACUUUACAACCCUAAGGCCUUCUUCAUUCACGCGGCAUGGCUGGAUCAGGGUUUCCCCCAUUGUCCAAUAUUCCUUACUGCUGCCUCCCGUAGGAGUCUGGGCCGUGUCUCAGUCCCAGUGUGGCUGAUCAUCCCCUCAGACCAGCUAAAGAUCGUCGCCUUGGUAGGCCGUUACCCCACCAACUAGCUAAUCUUACAUGGGCUGAUCCCUCGGCGAUAAAUCUUUGGUCCUUAGACAUUAUACGGUAUUAGCACCAGUUUCCCGGUGUUGUUCCGUACCAGAGGGGUACAUUCCCAUGCAUUACUCACCCGUGCGCCACUCCCUAUUGCUAGGGCUUCGACUUGCAUGUAUUAGGCCUGCCGCCAGCGUUCGUUCUGAGCCAGGAUCAAACUCU